rnacentral:rRNA from 1 species
ACGUAGGGUGCGAGCGUUAAUCGGAAUUACUGGGCGUAAAGCGUGCGCAGGCGGUUUUGUAAGACAGAUGUGAAAUCCCCGGGCUUAACCUGGGAACUGCGUUUGUGACUGGGAGACUUGAGUGCAGCAGAGGACAGUGGAACUCCAUGUGUAGCGGUGAAAUGCGUAGAUAUGUGGAAGAACACCGGUGGCGAAGGCGGCCCCCUGGGCCGACACUGACGCUCAGGCUCGAAAGCGUGGGGAGCAAACAG